GGCGGAGCCGCAGCGAAAGCGAGUCUGAACAGGGCGCAUGAGUAUGAGGUCGCAGACCCGAAACCAGGUGAUCUACCCAUGUCCAGGGUGAAGGUAAGGUAACACUUACUGGAGGCCCGAACCCACGCACGUUGAAAAGUGCGGGGAUGAGGUGUGGGUAGCGGUGAAAUUCCAAUCGAACCUGGAGAUAGCUGGUUCUCUCCGAAAUAGCUUUAGGGCUAGCCUCAAGGGAAGAGUCUUGGAGGUAGAGCACUGUUUGGACUAGGGGCCCCUCUCGGGUUACCGAAUUCAGACAAACUCCGAAUGCCAAAGACUUAUCCUUGGGAGUCAGACUGCGAGUGAUAAGAUCCGUAGUCAAGAGGGAAACAGCCCAGACCGCCAGCUAAGGUCCCCAAGUAUACGUUAAGUGGAAAAGGAUGUGGAGCUGCUUAGACAACCAGGAUGUUGGCUUAGAAGCAGCCAUCAUUGAAAGAGUGCGUAAUAGCUCACUGGUCGAGUGGCUCUGCGCCGAAAAUGUAACGGGGCUAAACGUAUCACCGAAGCUGCGGAUGGACACCUUAUGGUGUCCGUGGUAGGAGAGCGUUCUAAGGGCGGUGAAGCCAGACCGGGAGGACUGGUGGAGCGCUUAGAAGUGAGAAUGCCGGUAUGAGUAGCGAAAGAAGGGUGAGAAUCCCUUCCACCGAAUGCCUAAGGUUUCCUGAGGAAGGCUCGUCCUCUCAGGGUUAGUCGGGACCUAAGCCGAGGCCGAAAGGCGUAGGCGAUGGAUAACAGGUUGAUAUUCCUGUACCACCUCACUCCGUUUGAGCGAUGGGGGGACGCAGGAGGAUAGGGUAAGCGCACAGCUGGUUGUGCGUCCAAGCAGUUAGGCCGGUGACGAGGCAAAUCCCGUCACCAUCAAGGCGGAGCUGUGACGGCGAGGGAAAGAUAGUACCGAAGUUCCUGAUUCCACACUGCCAAGAAAAGCCUCUAGCGAGGAGACAGGUGCCCGUACCGCAAACCGACACAGGUAGGCGAGGAGAGAAUCCUAAGGUGAGCGAGUGAACUCUCGUUAAGGAACUCGGCAAAAUGACCCCGUAACUUCGGGAGAAGGGGUGCUCUUUGGGGUGCAUAGCCCUGAGGAGCCGCAGUGAAUAGGCCCAGGCGACUGUUUAGCAAAAACACAGGUCUCUGCGAAGCCGCAAGGCGAAGUAUAGGGGCUGACGCCUGCCCGGUGCUGGAAGGUUAAGAGGAGGGGUUAGCUUACGCGAAGCUCUGAAUUGAAGCCCCAGUAAACGGCGGCCGUAACUAUAACGGUCCUAAGGUAGCGAAAUUCCUUGUCGGGUAAGUUCCGACCCGCACGAAAGGCGUAACGAUCUGGGCACUGUCUCAACGAGAGACUCGGUGAAAUUAUAGUACCUGUGAAGAUGCAGGUUACCCGCGACAGGACGGAAAGACCCCGUGGAGCUUUACUGCAGCCUGAUAUUGAAUUUCGGCACAGCUUGUACAGGAUAGGUAGGAGCCUUUGAAACCGGAGCGCCAGCUUCGGUGGAGGCGUCGGUGGGAUACUACCCUGGCUGUGUUGAACUUCUAACCCGCACCCGUGAUCCGGGUGGGAGACAGUGUCAGGCAGGCAGUUUGACUGGGGCGGUCGCCUCCUAAAGAGUAACGGAGGCGCCCAAAGGUUCCCUCAGAAUGGUUGGAAAUCAUUCGCAGAGUGUAAAGGCACAAGGGAGCUUGACUGCGAGACCUACAAGUCGAGCAGGGACGAAAGUCGGGCUUAGUGAUCCGGUGGUUCCGCAUGGAAGGGCCAUCGCUCAACGGAUAAAAGCUACCCCGGGGAUAACAGGCUUAUCUCCCCCAAGAGUCCACAUCGACGGGGAGGUUUGGCACCUCGAUGUCGGCUCAUCGCAUCCUGGGGCUGUAGUCGGUCCCAAGGGUUGGGCUGUUCGCCCAUUAAAGCGGUACGCGAGCUGGGUUCAGAACGUCGUGAGACAGUUCGGUCCCUAUCCGUCGCGGGCGCAGGAAAUUUGAGAGGAGCUGUCCUUAGUACGAGAGGACCGGGAUGGACGCACCGCUGGUGUACCAGUUGUCUUGCCAAAGGCAUCGCUGGGUAGCUAUGUGCGGACGGGAUAAGUGCUGAAAGCAUCUAAGCAUGAAGCCCCCCUCAAGAUGAGAUUUCCCAUAGCGUCAAGCUAGUAAGAUCCCUGAAAGAUGAUCAGGUAGAUAGGUUCGAGGUGGAAGCGUGGCGACACGUGGAGCUGACGAAUACUAAUCGAUCGAGGACUUAUCC
rnacentral:rRNA from 1 species